UUGAGGGGGAGAUUUAGAUAUUCAGUAUCCUAUCCCAAAGACACUUUAUUUUGAUGCAUACCUUGAUUUUUAUGGAUUGAUUUUGAUGAACCUCCUUAUAUUACAAUACUUGCUUUAAUUAUAAGUUUAUACCUUGAGAUGAGUUCUAUAAAGAUUGUCUUGUCUCAAACCUUGAGUCUUAUGAAAAUAAGCUGAAAUAUAUUUUUGAGAUUGACAAUCUUAUUGAACAUUAUCUUAGGAUUCUAAACUCUUAAAUGGAAUGAUCAAUUGAGGGGGAGAAAGAAAAUUUCAGAAGGAGAGGUCUUAUGGCACUUAAUUACAUAAAUCUAUAGGAGAGGGAAAGAAUACUAAAUGAAAAGUGAUCCUAAUACUCUCCAAUAUGUAUCAUCUAAAAUUUAAAUCUAAAAAUCUUUAUGAUACACCUUGAGGCGUGUUAUUUGGUUAGUAUAUCUUAUGCAUCACUCAUGAACCAAAUUACAAAUCUUAAG
rnacentral:lncRNA from 1 species